rnacentral:tRNA from 1 species
UCUAAUAUGGCAGAACCAAGUGCAAUGGACUUAAACCCCAUAUAUAAAGUUUAAACUUUUUUUAGAA